rnacentral:rRNA from 1 species
UACGGAGGGGGCUAGCGUUGUUCGGAAUUACUGGGCGUAAAGCGCGUGUAGGCGGCAGGGUAUGUCGGAUGUGAAAUCCCGUGGCUCAACCACGGAAGUGCACCCGAAACUACCCAGCUUGAGUCUCGGAGAGGAAGGCGGAAUGCUUGGUGUAGAGGUGAAAUUCGUAGAUAUCAAGCGGAACACCGGUGGCGAAGGCGGCCUUCUGGACGAUGACUGACGCUGAGACGCGAAAGCGUGGGGAGCAAACAGG